CGGUAUUCUCCUAGGAAUCACCAACACCUUUGCCACCAUCCCUGGCAUGGUGGGACCAGUCAUAGCAAGAGCUCUGACUCAGCAGAACACCAUCGAAGAAUGGCAGAUUGUUUUCUACAUUGCUGCUGCCAUCGACGUGUUUGGGGCAAUAUUCUACGCUGUGUUUGGUAAAGGAACAGUGCAGUCCUGGGCUGUCCACACAUCUUUCUAUCAUGCAGACUGAGACAAGAGACCCUUUCGGGUUAAAUUUUCAGAUUUGUCCGGUGGGCAAGUUUCAAACAUGAGCUCAUUUGGUGGGUAAUUUAAGGGAGAGAUGUGUUCUAGCUGUAAUUAUCAUGGUCGGAUAAGUGUGUAAUUGCCAUGAUAUCUUGGAAAGAUGUUCCUUAAUGUGGCUGUGGGUACAUGGUCUUGAAACAGAUGAGCCCAAUGUCGGUG